GCCUACGGCCAUAACAGUCUGAAAGUGCCUGAUCUCGUCAGAUCUCAGAAGUCAUGCAGACUUGGGCCUGCUUAGUACUUGUAUGGGAGACCAACUAGAAACCUCACGUGCCGUAAGCU